AAGGUACAACUCUUCCAUAUUUAAUUGUAUAAACAAUCGUCCGAAAAAACUAGAAACCUUGCAGCGUAUAAAUACAUCCACUUGAGUUUUUUUAGGAAUCCGCCCUUUCUCCCACACUUCCAUUUCGCCUCAAUCACCGUUGGGCAAAAUGUCGCUAGAAUCACUAGUCCUCCGCGGCACAAUGAAGGCCCACACAGAUUGGGUGACAGCCAUUGCCACUCCAAUCGACAACUCCGACAUGAUUGUCACAUCAUCUCGUGACAAAUCCAUUAUCGUUUGGUCACUUACAAAAGAGGGCUCACAAUACGGCGUUCCCCGUCGCGUCUCACCGGUCACGGGCAUUUCGUCCAAGAUGUUGUCCUAUAAUCAGACGGCAUGUUUGCUUUUUCCGGAUCUUGGGAUGGUGAACUCCGUUUAUGGGAUCUUCAAGCUGAAACCACCGCCCGGCGUUUCGUAGCACACACGAAGGAUGUUUUAUCCGUCGCAUUUUCAGUUGAUAACCGUCAGAUUGUUUCAGCAUCACGUGAUAAAUCGAUCAAGCUAUGGAAUACUUUGGGUGAGUGUAAGUAUACGAUUCAGGACCAAGAUUCACAUUCUGAUUGGGUUUCUUGUGUUCGUUUUAGUCCGAAUAAUCUUCAGCCAACUAUUGUUUCUGGAUCAUGGGAUCGUACUGUGAAAAUCUGGAACCUUUCCAAUUGUAAGCUUCGCGCAACUCUUGCUGGGCACACUGGGUAUGUGAAUACUGCUGCAGUAUCUCCAGAUGGUUCUUUGUGUGCUAGUGGAGGAAAGGAUGGAGUGAUUUUGUUGUGGGAUUUGGCUGAAGGGAAGAAAUUGUACUCCCUUGAUUCUGGUUCCAUUAUUCACGCGCUUUGUUUUAGUCCCAAUAGGUACUGGUUAUGUGCUGCAACUGAGUCAAGUAUUAAGAUUUGGGAUUUGGAGAGUAAGAGUAUUGUCGUUGAUCUUAGUGUUGAUCUGAAGCAAGAGAGUGAAAUGGCUGGCAAGGCAACUACUACUUCUGGCAUAAACAAAGUCAUAUACUGCACCAGUUUGAGUUGGAGUGCUGAUGGGAGCACACUUUUCAGUGGAUACACCGAUGGUCUGAUUAGAGUGUGGGGUAUUGGCCGUUACUAGGACAAACAUAUAGCACCAUUUGGCCUGACUUCCAUUUAGAUGAAAUCUAAAUGUCAGGAAGAAGUCAUUUUGCCAGGGUAAAUAGCUUGUUGUUCCCUUCGCUUUACAGGGAAGUGUCGUUGAAGAACUGGUUGGCAAGAUAUUAAAACUUCUUAUUAUGCUAGCCAUUGAGAAUGAAUGAGCUACAAUAUGAAAUCCAGCUAUUAUAAAAUGCUAUGUGCGCUUUCAAUGAUGCUACGGAGUCCCUUUGUUGGAGUAUCGUAAAAAAUUAUAUAUGUAUUAGUUUUGGUAUUAUUUAGUUCCUUGUUUGAUAGUGUUUUCAUUUCAAUCUAUGUAUCUACACCUUAUUUAGGACUUUUAUACAUAAUAAAUCAUGACAUUAACAAUA